UCCCCUGGUGGUCCGGUGGUUAGGACUCUGCGCUCUCACCGCAGAGGACCCAGGUUCAAUCCCUGGCGGGGGAA